rnacentral:rRNA from 1 species
CCACUCCCGGCACGGGGAGGUAGUGACGAAAAAUAACGAUACGGGACUCAUCCGAGGCCCCGUAAUCGGAAUGAGUACACUCUAAACCCUUUAACGAGGAUCAAUUGGAGGGCAAGUCUGGUGCCAGCAGCCGCGGUAAUUCCAGCUCCAAUAGCGUAUAUUAAAGUUGUUGCGGUUAAAAAGCUCGUAGUCGAAUCUGUGUCUCGCGCCGCCGGUUCAUCGCUCGCGGUGUUUAACUGGCGUGUCGCGGGACGUCCUGCCGGUGGGCUUAGCCUCCUUCGCGGGGGGCGGCCCAACUACGCAUCCCGCCGCGGUGCUCUUCACUGAGUGUCGAGGUGGGCCGGCACGUUUACUUUGAACAAAUUAGAGUGCUUAAAGCAGGCUCAAACUUCGCCUGAAUAUUCUGUGCAUGGAAUAAUGGAAUAGGACCUCGGUUCUAUUUUGUUGGUUUUCGGAACCCCGAGGUAAUGAUUAAUAGGAACGGAUGGGGGCAUUCGUAUUGCGACGUUAGAGGUGAAAUUCUUGGAUCGUCGCAAGACGGACGGAAGCGAAAGCAUUUGCCAAAAACGUUUUCAUUGAUCAAGAACGAAAGUUAGAGGUUCGAAGGCGAUCAGAUACCGCCCUAGUUCUAACCAUAAACGAUGCCAGCUAGCGAUCCGCCGACGUUCCUCCGAUGACUCGGCGGGCAGCUUCCGGGAAACCAAAGCUUUUGGGUUCCGGGGGAAGUAUGGUUGCAAAGCUGAAACUUAAAGGAAUUGACGGAAGGGCACCACCAGGAGUGGAGCCUGCGGCUUAAUUUGACUCAACACGGGAAACCUCACCAGGCCCGGACACCGGAAGGAUUGACAGAUUGAGAGCUCUUUCUUGAUUCGGUGGGUGGUGGUGCAUGGCCGUUCUUAGUUGGUGGAGCGAUUUGUCUGGUUAAUUCCGAUAACGAACGAGACUCUAGCCUGCUAACUAGGCGUAUUUUCGACAUCUGAAAGGCCCCUCGGCCCGGCGCUCUCGCGUCGUGGUCGCGCGCGGUUUUUACUGUCGGCGUACAAUCAAUUCUUCUUAGAGGGACAGGCGGCUUCUAGCCGCACGAGAUUGAGCAAUAACAGGUCUGUGAUGCCCUUAGAUGUUCUGGGCCGCACGCGCGCUACACUGAAGGAAUCAGCGUGUCCUCCCUGGCCGAGAGGCCCGGGUAACCCGCUGAACCUCCUUCGUGCUAGGGAUUGGGGCUUGCAAUUGUUCCCCAUGAACGAGGAAUUCCCAGUAAGCGCGAGUCAUAAGCUCGCGUUGAUUACGUCCCUGCCCUUUGUACACACCGCCCGUCGCUACUACCGAUUGAAUGAUUUAGUGAGGUCUUCGGACCGGUACGCGGCGGCGCUCCCGCGUCGCCGAUGUUGCUGGGAAGAUGACCAAA